GAGAUUCAGCUUUGCUUUCACUUUCCCAAGGACUCAUGGCCUCCCUAGGGCCCUGGCCAAAGGGGAGACCUGAACUUAGAGAUCAAGGCUAAGAGUCCUUAAGGACCUAAUGUGCCUAAGGAAAAGCAAUAGUAAACUCUUCCAUUAGUUUUAUGUUGACCCUUCUAUAGAAAAUUAUCUUUGUUUUUGGACCUAGCUAGGGUCUCCUAAGGGGUUAGUUUAUUAAAGCCCUAACCAUUUGUAAGUAAGUGAUAAUGUGCUUUAAUUAGAAGAUAUGAAUUGCACACCUAUGACUUUUUCUAGCAAGGUCCUACCCCUAAUCAAUGUUUUCGCAGAAUCUCUGUCUCCAGAGGCACAGAGUCAUACUUAAAUGAAUACAUGAUCAUCCCUCACCAUAGAAAUGCAGAUAAGGACCUUAACUAAUGAAGGGGCUAAUAUCUGUCUCCUUUUGGGAACAUUUGUACAAGCUCUUACCAGUUAUAGUCAGAUAGGAGGAUUUAUUUGUCUACUGUUUUCUUUAUGGGUACAAUAUGCGUAUUUGUGUAUAUCAUAUAUCCUUACUCUGACUUUUAUUAGAAGGGGGAGAUAAGGCAAAGAGGCACUUUUGGAUUUCUCCAUCUGAGCAGCUCUGUGAUUCAUUAUCUGUUCUAGAAAGCAGCACACGCAGUUCCAGCAAAAAAAAAAAAAAAAAAAAAA
rnacentral:lncRNA from 1 species